rnacentral:rRNA from 1 species
ACAGCAGUAGCCGCGGUAAUACGAGGGGUGCAAGCGUUAUUCGGAUUGAUUGGGUGUAAAGGGUGUGCAGACGGCUUAUUAAGUCACUUGUUAAAUUCCUCGGCCUAACUGAAGGUCUGCAAGUGAUACUGAUGAGCUAGAGGGUGGAAGAGAGAAGUGGAAUUCUCGGAGUAGCGGUAAAAUGCGUAGAUCUCGAGAGGAACACCAAUGGCGAAGGCAGCUUCUUGGUCCAUUCCUGACGUUCAUACACGAAAGCGUGGGGAGCAAACAGGAUUAGAUACCCCGGUAGUCCCUGUCUCUUAUAC